UCCACGCCCUAAACGAUGUCAAUUAGCUGUUGGGGGUUAGAAUCCCUGGUAGCGUAGCUAACGCGUGAAAUUGACCGCCUGGGGAGUACGGCCGCAAGGUUAAAACUCAAAGGAAUUGACGGGGGCCCGCACAAGCGGUGGAUGAUGUGGAUUAAUUCGAUGCAACGCGAAGAACCUUACCUGCUCUUGACAUGUACGGAACUUGCCAGAGAUGGCUUGG
rnacentral:rRNA from 1 species